rnacentral:misc_RNA from 1 species
GCCGAUAAUGCAGAACGNGUAGGCGCAUGAGUGGUGUUUUGCUUGUUUCGGUCGAUUGGAUCCUUGCUCUGGCAACGACGUUCGUCCUCACAUGAAUCUUCAGUCGUGUCUCGUGAUACGUGUUGUCUCGAGUUUUGCAUUGGUUUCUUGUAUUGCGUACCUCUUAAGAUGGCAGUCGACAGUCCAAACAACACAUUUCGCCUUUCGUCGUCCCUCUUUGGGGCUACGCGGGGUGAACCACGAAGCAGUCUCUGCUGCCCACUCCUCCCGCAUUCGUUUGUGGUUGUGGAUUGGUCCGCAGGGUAUUCGCUUGAGCUCUCGGUUGCGGUGCAUUAUAUACGG